AAGGGGACUCCAAGUGCGAGGGCAUAUAGUCCUCGCUUUUUGCGACCGUAAGGUGGUCGCGGAAUAAGUGCUGGGCAAGACCGGUGCCAGCCGCCGCGGUAAUACCGGCAGCACGAGUGAUGACCGCUAUUAUUGGGCUAAAGCGUCCGUAGCUGGCCAUGCAAGUCCAUCGGGAAAUCCGCGCGCUUAACGCGCGGGCGUCCGGUGGAAACUGCAUGGCUUGGGACCGGAAGACCAGAGGGGUACGUCCGGGGUAGGAGUGAAAUCCCGUAAUCCUGGACGGACCACCGGUGGCGAAAGCGCCUCUGGAAGACGGAUCCGACGGUGAGGGACGAAAGCUCGGGUCACGAACCGGAUUAGAUACCCGGGUAGUCCGAGCUGUAAACGAUGUCUGCUAGGUGUGGCACAGGCUACGAGCCUGUGCUGUGCCGCAGGGAAGCCGUGAAGCAGACCGCCUGGGAAGUACGUCCGCAAGGAUGAAACUUAAAGGAAUUGGCGGGGGAGCACUACAACCGGAGGAGCCUGCGGUUUAAUUGGACUCAACGCCGGACAUCUCACCAGCAUCGACAAUGUGCAGUGAAAGUCAGGUUGAUGACCUUACUGGAGCCAUUGAGAGGAGGUGCAUGGCCGCCGUCAGCUCGUACCGUAGGCGUCCUGUUAAGUCAGGCAACGAGCGAGACCCGCACUCCUAAUUGCCAGCAACACCUAGCGGUGGUUGGGUACAUUAGGAGGACUGCCAGUGCCAAACUGGAGGAAGGAACGGGCAACGGUAGGUCAGUAUGCCCCGAAUGUGCUGGGCGACACGCGGGCUACAAUGGCCGAGACAGUGGGAUGCAACCCCGAAAGGGGGCGCUAAUCUCCGAAACUCGGUCGUAGUUCGGAUUGAGGGCUGAAACUCGCCCUCAUGAAGCUGGAUUCGGUAGUAAUCGCGCCUCAGAAGGGCGCGGUGAAUACGUCCCUGCUCCUUGCACACACCGCCCGUCAAAGCACCCGAGUGGGGUCCGGAUGAGGCCGACGCAACGUCGGUCGAAU
rnacentral:rRNA from 1 species